rnacentral:rRNA from 1 species
GACAGAGGGUGCAAACGUUGUUCGGAAUUACUGGGCGUAAAGCGCGUGUAGGCGGCUUUGCAAGUCGGAUGUGAAAGCCCUCGCUCACACGAGGAAGUGCGUUCGAAACUGCAGAGCUUGAGUGACCGGAGAGGGUGGCGGAAUUCCCCAAGUAGAGGUGAAAUUCGUAGAUAUGGGGAGGAACACCGGUGGCGAAGGCGGCCACCUGGACGGUCACUGACGCUGAGACGCGAAAGCGUGGGUAGCAAACAGGG